rnacentral:rRNA from 1 species
GACGAACGCUGGCGGCGUGCUUAACACAUGCAAGUCGAACGGAAAGGCCCUGCUUUUGUGGGGUGCUCGAGUGGCGAACGGGUGAGUAACACGUGAGUAACCUGCCCUUGACUUUGGGAUAACUUCGGGAAACUGGGGCUAAUACCGGAUAGGAGCUCCUGCUGCAUGGUGGGGGUUGGAAAGUUUCGGCGGUUGGGGAUGGACUCGCGGCUUAUCAGCUUGUUGGUGGGGUAGUGGCUUACCAAGGCUUUGACGGGUAGCCGGCCUGAGAGGGUGACCGGCCACAUUGGGACUGAGAUACGGCCCAGACUCCUACGGGAGGCAGCAGUGGGGAAUAUUGCACAAUGGGCGGAAGCCUGAUGCAGCAACGCCGCGUGCGGGAUGACGGCCUUCGGGUUGUAAACCGCUUUCGCCUGUGACGAAGCGUGAGUGACGGUAAUGGGUAAAGAAGCACCGGCUAACUACGUGCCAGCAGCCGCGGUGAUACGUAGGGUGCGAGCGUUGUCCGGAUUUAUUGGGCGUAAAGGGCUCGUAGGUGGUUGAUCGCGUCGGAAGUGUAAUCUUGGGGCUUAACCCUGAGCGUGCUUUCGAUACGGGUUGACUUGAGGAAGGUAGGGGAGAAUGGAAUUCCUGGUGGAGCGGUGGAAUGCGCAGAUAUCAGGAGGAACGCCAGUGGCGAAGGCGGUUCUCUGGGCCUUUCCUGACGCUGAGGAGCGAAAGCGUGGGGAGCGAACAGGCUUAGAUACCCUGGUAGUCCACGCUGUAAACGGUGGGUACUAGGUGUGGGGUCCAUUCCACGGGUUCCGUGCCGUAGCUAACGCUUUAAGUACCCCGCCUGGGGAGUACGGCCGCAAGGCUAAAACUCAAAGGAAUUGACGGGGCCCCGCACAAGCGGCGGAGCAUGCGGAUUAAUUCGAUGCAACGCGUAGAACCUUACCUGGGUUUGACAUGGAUCGGGAGUGCUCAGAGAUGGGUGUGCCUCUUUUGGGGUCGGUUCACAGGUGGUGCAUGGCUGUCGUCAGCUCGUGUCGUGAGAUGUUGGGUUAAGUCCCGCAACGAGCGCAACCCUUGUUCACUGUUGCCAGCACGUUAUGGUGGGGACUCAGUGGAGACCGCCGGGGUCAACUCGGAGGAAGGUGGGGAUGACGUCAAGUCAUCAUGCCCCUUAUGUCCAGGGCUUCACGCAUGCUACAAUGGCUGGUACAGAGAGUGGCGAGCCUGUGAGGGUGAGCGAAUCUCGGAAAGCCGGUCUCAGUUCGGAUUGGGGUCUGCAACUCGACCUCAUGAAGUCGGAGUCGCUAGUAAUCGCAGAUCAGCAACGCUGCGGUGAAUACGUUCCCGGG